UGUGGGAGCGGGCUUGCUCGCGAUGGCAGCACUGCGGUUAAGCUGGAAUAUCGCGCAGCUUGCAUCGCGGGCAAGCCCGCUCCCACA
rnacentral:misc_RNA from 1 species